GGUGCCAAUAGUUCAGUUGGUUAGAAUGUCGGAUUGUGGUUCCGAAGGUCGUGGGUUCGAGCCCCACCUGGCACCCCCA
rnacentral:tRNA from 1 species